GAUGAACGCUGGCGGCGUGCCUAACACAUGCAAGUCGAGCGAAGCGCUGUUUUCAGAAUCUUCGGAGGAAGAGGACAGUGACUGAGCGGCGGACGGGUGAGUAACGCGUGGGCAACCUGCCUCAUACAGGGGGAUAACAGUUAGAAAUGACUGCUAAUACCGCAUAAGCGCACAGGACCGCAUGGUGUAGUGUGAAAAACUCCGGUGGUAUGAGAUGGACCCGCGUCUGAUUAGGUAGUUGGUGGGGUAAAGGCCUACCAAGCCGACGAUCAGUAGCCGACCUGAGAGGGUGACCGGCCACAUUGGGACUGAGACACGGCCCAAACUCCUACGGGAGGCAGCAGUGGGGAAUAUUGCACAAUGGGGGAAACCCUGAUGCAGCGACGCCGCGUGAAGGAAGAAGUAUUUCGGUAUGUAAACUUCUAUCAGCAGGGAAGAAGAUGACG
rnacentral:rRNA from 1 species